rnacentral:sRNA from 1 species
UAUGAAAACAAACAACUGUUCUGAGCGC